GAUGAACGCUAGCUACAGGCUUAACACAUGCAAGUCGAGGGGCAGCGCAGUGUAGCAAUACAUGGGUGGCGACCGGCGCACGGGUGCGUAACGCGUAUCCAACCUUCCCGUUACUCAGGGAUAGCCUUCCGAAAGGGAGAUUAAUACCUGAUGGUGUUGAAAUUCCGCAUGUUAUUUCAACUAAAGAUUUAUCGGUAACGGAUGGGGAUGCGUGACAUUAGGUAGAUGGCGGGGUAACGGCCCACCAUGCCUACGAUGUCUAGGGGUUCUGAGAGGAAGGUCCCCCACACUGGAACUGAGACACGGUCCAGACUCCUACGGGAGGCAGCAGUGAGGAAUAUUGGUCAAUGGUCGGAAGACUGAACCAGCCAAGUAGCGUGAAGGAUGAAGGUUCUAUGGAUUGUAAACUUCUUUUAUACGGGAAUAAAACCUCCCACGUGUGGGAGCUUGUAUGUACCGUAUGAAUAAGCAUCGGCCAACUCCGUGCCAGCAGCCGCAGUAAUAC
rnacentral:rRNA from 1 species